rnacentral:rRNA from 1 species
UACGAAGGGGGCGAGCGUUAUUCGGAUUUAUUGGGCGUAAAGGGCGCGCAGGCGGCUGGGCAAGUCUGGUGUGAAAACGCUACCGCUCAACGGAGCGAUUGCGCUGGAAACUGCUCAACUUGAGUGCAAGAGAGACAAGCGGAAUACCUGGUGUAGCGGUGGAAUGCUCAGAGAUCAGGUAGAACACCUGAGGCGAAGGCGGCUUGUUGGCUUGUAACUGACGCUGAGGCGCGAAAGCGUGGGGAUCAAACGGG